AGGGCCUGUUAGGUUGACCGUAGCAGUUGUGUUUAGCUAGCAUCAUUUGUUGUCUGUUUUGAUGGGUCGUAUUUGCAGGACAGAGUAAGACAAUGUGCUUCUCACUCUACUUGGCUACCAGCAACACAUGGGGAGAACUACAUCAACAGGACCGACCCGAUGGAAAUAAUGACCGAUUGCAUUCCUGGAAUUACCCUAAGCAGAACUGUUGGCCUUCAGUAGACCUCCAGUGUAUAUUGCUGCCAGCACAGACGUUGAUUGGUUUGUGGCAUAUCUGCUGGCACUAUUUCCUUAUGGGUAUACAGUAUAUUCCUCAGUCGUCUUUUUUGCUAAAAUAGUAGCGUAUUCCUAUUAAAAUGAUUUUAGAAGCAAAUGUCAUUUGAUGCUGUGCCUAGCUUGUUAAAAUUGAUGUAAAAUUUGCUUAUUGAGUAGAUAGUCACCCAUUUGUUGAGUCAUUUAAAAUGGUCUCUUUAUCAGAGGUUUAUGAAACAUGUUACUGUGUCACUGUUGCUGAUGUCAGAUUCAGAAAUGAAUUAGGAAUUUUUACUAUAAAUAUUGAGCUGCCAUUUUUAGUCUAAUAUUAGAAAGCUAUAAUUAAAUGGAAUUUGAAAAAUAGUAAAAGUAUAUGCAGAAAUGAUUUCUCUAUAGAUGUACUGGAAUUUAUUACUUAUAACAAUUACCUUCUGUUCUCCCCUUUUAUUUGUUUAUCAUGUUAUUGUAACAAGUACAGUUAAUAUUGAUAAAAACUACCUUGAGGCUAUUAAUAUCCAGAUCUGGUAGUUACCACUUUGUUUAGAAAUGUCAUUUUCCUUUGCAGCUAGUUUUAGGACAAUCAUUGUUAGCUUUUUUCCUACCCCUCUGAUAAAGUGUUGUAUCUUGUUCUUGUUCUGUGCAUUUCUUAGGUCCUGUCAGAGCCACUCUGAACAGAAGGAUGAGGGUUUUCACUGUGCCUUUCUGCUGAGGCUGUUGUACUUCAUUUAACUCAUCUCUAUUUUUGUGUCUUGUGUUUAAAUUAACAAGCAUGUAUGUGGAGCACAUAGCUAAACAGUUCAGAAUUGACCAUUUGGGGGUGCUGAUGAGUGCCCUAACACAUUUUUAUUGCAGAGUUUAAGAGUCUGAAAGUGUUAACACUAUAUGCAACUACAACAGGACUGGACAUUCUGUAGUAGCUUAGGACUGCUAAACUGUCAAGUAGCAAAAAUACCAGGGGAAAAAAAGGGCAAAAAAAACCAAACAAACCAACCACCAAGUAAUCGUUUGAAUCAAAGGAAAACUGAUUUAUAAUGACAGGUUACAUACAAUAAAAAGCACUGUUUCAAGUGUGUUUUUUUUUUUUUUAAUAAAAAAUAACAACAACCACACAACUAAAUAAAAUCACCCUCCUUGCUUUUAAUUUAAACUUAUUUUGUUAAUACAUUACUCAAACUGUUUAGCUAGCGUGCUAGUACAUACGCUUCAUGAAACUUGAAAAUAGUAGGUACAUAACUACAGCAGAGUUUAAAAUGCUACAUUCUUACUUGCAAAAGCAAGUCUUAUGAGGGUUUCUCAAAUUGUAGCAAGGGUAGUAUUUUUGUGGUUUUAAUUGGAGUGCAUUUCCCUUAUAUCUGAAACUAUUGUAUGUUUUGCCAUUAUUGUAAGACUUCUCCAUAAAACUUGCAUACAUGCAUGUUACACCUUAUUCAUUCAUAUAAUGCUUAGCAAUUAAAAUAUUAAACUGAUAAGAUAAAUACCUUUUUUAUAUCCUUGGACUGUAUUUCAUAAUCUUGGUGGAUCAGGCUUCCCAUGGUAACAUCUGUAUCAUAGUCAUAAAACUUGAAUGGUUCUUGCUGUAUAGGUGGUGCUGACUUCACCAAAGGUACAAACACAAACAGAAAAAAA